UUUACAGUCUGUGUGUCUGUUCUUUCCACUGGAUCUUUGAAAGCAUGACUCAGAAUGAUCAUCCUACAUACAAUUCAGCCACCAUGCUUCCAGCCAAGGAGUAUUGGAUACCUCUACUUUGAGAACCCAUUAAUUAACAGCAGCCCUUAAUUGGCCAGAGAUGAUGUUGUUGAGCAAUGUGAAGCUUUACUUCUCUCAUACUGAGUGAAGGUUUGUGAAGAUUAAUGUUUGUAACACAUUUUGAAGAUUAAUGACCUGAUCCAAUGUCCAGAGAAACCAAUGGAAAGUCUCUCAUGGACUUCAGUCUUAAAAGCCUA